rnacentral:rRNA from 1 species
AACGAACGCUGGCGGCAGGCCUAACACAUGCAAGUCGAACGCCCCGCCAGGGGAGUGGCAGACGGGUGAGUAACACGUGGGAACCUUCCCUAUAGUACGGAAUAGCCCAGGGACACUUGGAGUAAUACCGUAUACGCCCGAAAGGGGAAAGAAUUUCGCUAUAGGAUGGGCCCGCGUAGGAUUAGCUAGUUGGUGAGGUAAUGGCUCACCAAGGCGACGAUCCUUAGCUGGUUUGAGAGAACGACCAGCCACACUGGGACUGAGACACGGCCCAGACUCCUACGGGAGGCAGCAGUGGGGAAUAUUGGACAAUGGGCGCAAGCCUGAUCCAGCCAUGCCGCGUGAGUGAUGAAGGCCUUAGGGUUGUAAAGCUCUUUUGGCGGGGACGAUAAUGACGGUACCCGCAGAAUAAGUCCCGGCUAACUUCGUG